GUAGCUUCGGUAGCACAGAUACUAAAAUUGGAAUGAUAUGUUGAAGAUUAACAUGGCCCCUGCACAAAGGUGACACACAAAUUCAUGAAGCGUCCCAUAUUCUG